GACGAACGCUGGCGGCGUGCUUAACACAUGCAAGUCGAACGGAAAGGCCCUGCUUUUGUGGGGUGCUCGAGUGGCGAACGGGUGAGUAACACGUGAGUAACCUGCCCUUGACUUUGGGAUAACUUCAGGAAACUGGGGCUAAUACCGGAUAGGAGCUCCUGCUGCAUGGUGGGGGUUGGAAAGUUUCGGCGGUUGGGGAUGGACUCGCGGCUUAUCAGCUUGUUGGUGGGGUAGUGGCUUACCAAGGCUUUGACGGGUAGCCGGCCUGAGAGGGUGACCGGCCACAUUGGGACUGAGAUACGGCCCAGACUCCUACGGGAGGCAGCAGUAGGGAAUAUUGCACAAUGGGCGGAAGCCUGAUGCAGCAACGCCGCGUGCGGGAUGACGGCCUUCGGGUUGUAAACCGCUUUCGCCUGUGACGAAGCGUGAGUGACGGUAAUGGGUAAAGAAGCACCGGCUAACUACGUGC
rnacentral:rRNA from 1 species